rnacentral:rRNA from 1 species
AUUGAACGAUGGCGGCAUGCUUUACACAUGCAAGUCGAACGGUAACAGGGAGCUUGCUCCGCUGACGAGUGGCGGACGGGUGAGUAAUGCGUCGGAACGUGCCGAGUAGUGGGGGAUAACGCAUCGAAAGGUGUGCUAAUACCGCAUACGAACUGAGGUUGAAAGUGGGGGACCUUCGGGCCUCACGCUAUUCGAGCGGCCGACGUCUGAUUAGCUAGUUGGUGAGGUAAAGGCUCACCAAGGCGACGAUCAGUAGCGGGUCUGAGAGGAUGGUCCGCCACACUGGGACUGAGACACGGCCCAGACUCCUACGGGAGGCAGCAGUGGGGAAUUUUGGACAAUGGGCGCAAGCCUGAUCCAGCCAUGCCGCGUGUCUGAAGAAGGCCUUCGGGUUGUAAAGGACUUUUGUCCGGGAGCAAAUGCUGGUGGCUAACAUCCACCGGAGCUGAGAGUACCGGAAGAAUAAGCACCGGCUAACUACGUGCCAGCCGCCGCCGUAAGAC